GGAAGGAUCAUUAAAGGUUAAAAAAAAAAACACAUAUAAAAAAACUUUUAAAUAAUGUCAGGGGGGUUUGCCUUACCCCCCAAUAACCCAAGGCAAAGGACUCUGCUUUAAGGGACGUCUGUGGCUCGAGACACAGGCGCUCCUUCUCAAAAUGAACUGAGUCCUUAAGAUGUCGUAUUUUUAACGAGUAUUUUUUCUCAAAAAAUCUCGGUAAACUAAACCCCCCCCCCACAUAACAUAAAAAACAUAAAAAACAUAUUACAACUUUUAACGGUGGAUGUCUCGGCUUUCGUAUCGAUGAAGAACGUAGCAAAAUGCGAUAACUGAUGGAAAUUGCAGAAUACUUCGACUCAUCGAAUUUUUGAAUGCAUCCUGCACCCUGGUGUAACUACUAGGGUAUACCUAUUUGAGCUCGGUUUUUUAAUAAUUAAUAUCCCUUUUCUAAGGGGAACUGAGGCGUUAACUCGACUAGAGUUAUCCCUUUAAGUGAGACUCUUUCAAAUUUUUUUCUCGUCUUCGUUAUUAUAUUUGGAGUUACUUUUUUUUGCUAAAAAAAUCCUUAAAAAUUUUUAACACACACAAAAGGAGGCAAAAAAAAGCGAAGACAUUCCUUAAGGGAAAAAAAUUGUUAGGGUAAAAAAACCCAGAACUAGCCUUUAUGGUUAGAAACUCUCUCUAGUUAAAAAGUUUUUUUUGACUAUUGCUUUCACUGACUCAAAUUAGGUAUGAUUACCCGCUGAACUUAAGCAUAUUAUUAGGCGGAGGAAAAGAAAUUAACAAAGAUUCCCUUAGUAAUGGCGAAUGAACAGGGAAAAGCUCACGCCGAAUCUGUGGGGACUAAGCUCCUCACCGAAAUGUAGCGUUUCAACUGGCUUUCUCGGUUAGUUGGUUACUUGAAGUCCCCUGGAAAGGGGCGCAACAUAGGGUGACAGCCCCGUAAGGUAACCAGCUGGUCGAAUAUGUUAGCCAGCUUGUAGAGUCGGGUUGUUUUGUAAUACAACUCUAAUAGGGUGAUAAACUUCAUCCAAAGCUAAAUAUUAACGAAAGACCGAUAGCGAACAAGUACCGUGAGGGAAAGAUGAAAAGAACUUUGAAAAGAGAGUUAAAAGUACCUGAAACCGUUAAAAGGUAAGCGAUCGGCACCAUCGUUUUACUUUGUCUCUGCAGAUCAUCCGAAUGAUAAGUAGGUGCGUUUAUAGACGAGGGGUUCAGUUUUUGCGCUUCCGGCUAUGAGUGUACUGAGAUAUUGUUCGGUGCAAUCUGUUGUGCACAAUUUGUCAGGGUCGUCUUCGAUGGGGAUAACACGGUAAUGAUGUGUGGCAGUUGGGUGAUUCCAGUGAAACACAUUGAUAACCUAUCUUUGUCGGGGACGAGGGUCCCAAAAGGGAUAACAUUGAUGGGGGUAUUCUUGGCUAGGGAGUAGUUGAGAGGGUCAAACUUCUCAAGUGUUCUCGAAUCUUGAACCCAUUAUUGACUCUGGCUUAGAUGGAAUUGAUCGUCCCGUCUUGAAACACGGACCAAGGAGUGUAGAUUAUGCGCGAGUCUUAGGGCCAACAAAACCCAAGGGCGAAAUGAAAGUGAGUAUACACCUGAAGCCCGAUUAAGGGAACUGCAAGGUGGACCGAUGUGGUUUUACGAAACCGCAUUCGCGUAAGAGCGUAUAGUCUACGACCCGAAAGGUGGCGAACUAUGCUUGUGUAGAGUGAAGCCAGAAGAAAUUCUGGUGGAGGCUCGUAGCGGUAUUGACGUGCAAAUCAUUCGUCAAACAUGAGUAUAGCGGCGAAAGACUAAUCGAGCCGCCUAGUAGCUGGUUCCUCU
rnacentral:misc_RNA from 1 species